rnacentral:rRNA from 1 species
AGUGAACGCUGGCGGCAGGCCUAAUACAUGCAAGUCGAACGGCAGCACAGUGGAGCUUGCUCCAUGGGUGGCGAGUGGCGGACGGGUGAGGAAUACAUGGGAAUCUGCGCAGUCGUGGGGGAUAACGUAGGGAAACUUACGCUAAUACCGCAUGCGCCCUUCGGGGGAAAGCCGGGGACCUUCGGGCCUGGCGCGAUUGGAUGAGCCCAUGUUCGAUUAGCUAGUUGGCGGGGUAAAGGCCCACCAAGGCGACGAUCGAUAGCUGGUCUGAGAGGAUGAUCAGCCACACUGGGACUGAGACACGGCCCAGACUCCUACGGGAGGCAGCAGUAGGGAAUAUUGGACAAUGGGCGCAAGCCUGAUCCAGCCAUGCCGCGUGAGUGAAGAAGGCCCUCGGGUUGUAAAGCUCUUUUGUCCGGGAAGAAAAGCAUCGGGCUAAUACCUCGGUGUUCUGACGGUACCGGAAGAAUAAGCACCGGCUAACUUCGUG